rnacentral:tRNA from 1 species
GAAAGAGUAGUUAAAUAAUAAUAUUAGUUUGUGGAGCUAAAUUUAAUGGUUAAAAUCCAUUUUUUUUCC